rnacentral:lncRNA from 1 species
CGCCGCGCAAGGAGACCCAAGCCCAGAAGCCCAGGCUUACUGUGUUAACUGCGAUCAAGCGGGGGAUAGAAGGGGGAAGGAGCCGGAGGAUCUAGCACUGGCUACCACACGGACACCUGGGAGGAGGAGGGAGCUGAUCUGGACGAAUGGCUGUCGUGAAAUGAUGAUCCUUGUGAAGGCAGCAAGUGGGUGAGUGAGGAGCAGAAAGGGGAGAACCCGGCGUCGCAGGAUGAACACCAGCAAGAGGAGCGGGGACACCCAAGGAAGCGUGCAGCGAGGCAUACAGCUGCUCCAGGAGGCCGGACAGAGGCUACAGCCUCUAGGGCGACAUGACGCAGUAGAUCAGCAGAAUGAGAAAGAGUUGUAGAAGAGAUCGUCUUUUGCUUCCGGACCCGAGGACUGCCAGCCAGGAAAGCUACUUACACAUGUAGCAGUGUGGUGAGAGGUCUUCCAGGCAGCUAAAGAAGAUGCCCGCUCACGGACAGAGACGUU